AUUAAAUGCAUUCGGAUUGUAACAAACUAUUGGAUCCUGGCAGACCUCUCAUUUCUGCUUGAUAUUAAGAAAAAGUCGCAGCUCAACAGACCGCAAGUCCCAUCAAGUAAUUCGACAUGAAUGUCAAACAAAUCCUGGUGUCCAUUGCUGUCCUUGCAGUAAUAAUAAAAUACGUUAAAUCAUCAGAACCAAAGCGAAUGCAAGGGCAGCUAGUACCGGCAUCAGGAGUCAGCUUGGUGGAGAAGCAAUUAGACGGUGAGUCGCGGGGACUUGAGCAACCGCUGAGCUUGCAACGACAUCGGAGAAAUUUAUCAGUUACAUGGUACCACUACUAUAAUUACCCUAAAUCACGAACUUACUACUACACAUAUUUCGACUAUAAUGGGAGAAAUUACUACUUUUCCUAUUACUGGGAUGAAGACGGCGAUUUAGUCUAUUACUGGAAAGUGGUUCCAUCACAAUCACGGAAUUACAGGUUUCAUGUAUUCAUAUCAUGGUGAGUGAGUGAUUCCGAAGUAACUCGGAUCAAAAACUGACAAUGAGCAAGCGAAGAAUCAGAGCUGAGCAUUAUCACUAAAACGACACAAACUUUAACGUCGUUAUCAACAGCUGAGCUACCACUACUCUGUAAGAGACGAUGAUCGAUUAUAAAUCGCUGAGGAAGCUAACCACCUCUCAUUCAUCUUUCAUUUUAGCUCAUUGAUAGUGCACGUAUAAAUGGGACACUUCAUGUCAAAUCGGUCACUUUCUAACCGACCCGCUUUGAUUUCAUUCAAUGUUUUUCUUAGUUUUUUACAUUUAAAAAAUUUUAAACUCGCUAUACUGAUAUUCAAAUGCUCAUAACUCAUUCAAAAAUGCAUCUAAUUCGAUGCUUUUUUAUAUUUUUUUUUGUUCUCGAAAGCACUUCCGAAAAAAACACAAGCACAACGAUUUUCUUGCAUUUUUUUUUUCAAUGUAAAGCAAAAAAUUACUGUUUUUAAACUGAUUACUUAUUUUGAUUUUCUUCAAAAAAUAGUUUAAAAAAUUUUCACAUUAUUUUCAUAGUUUCAUAUUUAUUUUUUUCUUUGGAAUUUUGAUUUUGUUUAAUUUUUACUCGAAACGAUUUUCCACUAUUCAAUUUCACAAUUAUUCAAACUUUCCAGUUCGGUUUUUUUCGUCAUUUAUUUACGACUUAUUCAUGAAUAAAUGUUAUUAACAAACGACGAAUUUCAUAAAGAUUUUUUUAAUCCUCAAAGUGGCCAAUUAGGCGUGGAAUGCCCCAUACAUAAUUAGAAUAUAUUUUAUGUGAGUGAGGGUGAAAAAAAAAGAGAGAGAGAACGACAGCGUGAACGCAUUCACUUCCGGUGGAGCAGCCGAAAAAGCCGUGAGCGAAUGAAUUGCGAGCGUAGUAUGAGGGAGAGGAAGAGCGCGCGUACGAGAGUUAGUUGCUGAAUGGCUGUUGAGCGAGCGAGUUCGUGUGCGAGAGAGAAAGAGAAUAUAGUGCGUUCUCGAAACUCUGUACAAGCGCGAUUAACAAAAAACCGUUGUGCGACCGUUCUUUAUUUCUUUACGUAUCUAUUCAUUACUUAAAUAUUAAUAAACUUUGUUUUCACUAUUGA